AGCAGCCGCGGUAAUUCCAGCUCCAAUAGCGUAUAUUAAAGUUGUUGCAGUUAAAAAGCUCGUAGUUGAAUUUCGGGAUCAAGUCGUCGGUCGUGCUCAGGUACGUACUGGCGUCAUUGAUUUCUCCCUUCUGACGAACCAUGAUGUCAUUAACUUGGUGUCAUGGGAAAUCAGGACUGUUACUUUGAAAAAAUUAGAGUGUUUAAAGCAGGCUCACGCUUGAAUACAUUAGCAUGGAAUAAUGAAAUAGGACGUUCGAUCCUAUUUUGUUGGUUUUAGGAUCAACGUAAUGAUUAAUAGGGAUAGUUGGGGGCAUUAGUAUUCAAUUGUCAGAGGUGAAAUUCUUGGAUUUAUUGAAGACUAACUACUGCGAAAGCAUUUGCCAAGGAUGUUUUCAUUAAUCAAGAACGAAAGUUAGGGGAUCGAAGACGAUCAGAUACCGUCGUAGUCUUAACCAUAAACUAUGCG
rnacentral:rRNA from 1 species